GUCAUGUAUGGAUGUGAGAGUUGGACUGUGAAGAAAGCUGAGCGCUGAAGAAUUGAUGCUUUUGAACUGUGGUGUUGGAUAAGACUCUUGAGAGUCCCUUGGACUGCAAGGAGAUCCAACCAGUCCAUUCUGAAGGAGAUCAGCCCUGGGAUUUCUUUGGAGGGAAUGAUGCUAAAGCUGAAACUCCAGUACUUUGGCCACCUGAUGCGAAGAGUUGACUCAUUGGAAAAGACUCUGAUGCUGGGAAGGAUUGGGGGCAGGAGGAGAAGAGGACGACUGAGGAUGAGAUGGCUGGAUGGCAUCACUGACUCGAUGAACGGGAUCUUCUCAACCCAGGGCUCGAACCUGGGUCUCCUGUGUCUCCUGUACUGCAAGAUUUUUAACCCCCUGAACCAAGGAGAAGCCCUAUAUCUUGGUUAAAACGUCACAUUAAAAAAAAAUAUAUAUGUAUAAAUCAGCAAAACCUGACCAAAACAAUACUUAGAUUUUCAAAGUAAAACAAAGCAAUCAAGUCAAAAACAAUCUGAUGCUCAUGCCAGUUACAGGCGGGAUAAAGCCAAUGAGAUAUAAAAGUUUUCACCUCUUAUGAUACAGCCUUGUGAGGAAGACUGGGCAGAAAUGUGUCUAUUUUGAUGGACAGCAGUGAUGCAAAGCACUAUAAGCAUCAGCACUUUGGGCAUAAACCAUACAACGUAUCUCAUUAAAGGUAAGAGGAUUCACUGAGUUAAUAUUUGCAAGGAACUCAAGACAAUGUAUGGCUUGUAGUAAGCAGUGUGUGUGAGUGGUGGUUUAGUAAAAGUAAGGGGUGGAAUUACAACUGAGUCAUUAGGAUGAUGUGUCCCGUUCCUCCCCUCACCCCACAUCUAGGAAACAUGGGACCCACACAGCUGAGGUAUGGUUCAGAAGAGAGUAAUUAACAUUAUAUCCAUGUAUAGCCAAACACAUCCAGAGGUAGAAAAGGCCCUGUCCUCAGAUUAGAGGUGGAAAUUGGGAGAGAAAGGUAUCAUCCCCUU
ensembl:lncRNA